UAGCGCAGUUGUUUAUUAAAUCACUUUGCUGCUCAGCAACUCCAAUUUCAGAGUGUUGUUUACAAAAAAAAAAAAGUGUUUUCCAUUCACUGAUAUUUUAGUAUUUUUCAAUUCUUUCAGUUAAAUGAUGAGUUGUAGAGAAGAAGUAAUUGAAUGAACAAAAAAAAAAGGACAGGAGAAGUUUGUUUCAGCUAUCUGGAAUGGAAACAUCAGUUUAUAAUGGCAGAGAUGUAUAAGGAUACCUGUGAAGUGGUACAACAGAUAACACCUUUCAUGCAGGAAGAAGUGAGGGCAGCAUCAAAAGGGGAUAAGCUACCACCGAACUCUGAAGUUUAUGGGCUCCUGACUGUCCUUAUGGAUUGGAUCUUAGAUGAGCUCCUUAGCAAACUCAAGAAACAAGAAGAAAGAGAGGAAGGCCAGAAACCUCAGUGUAGCAGAAGAACCUACAUCCAGGAAAGUGUUUGAAGGUAAAGGGACUUGAGUUUGCUCUGGUUCAUGUGUUUUCAGAUUCACGUAUAUACUGACUGAUUUUAUUGUGAGAGUAGAAAAGGUCAGCCUGUUUUGUAUAGACCUGGGAUAGAGCAAUGAAAGCAGAAUGACAGUUACUAAGUCAGUAUUAAUCCCAGCAGUCAGAUGGAAUGGCUGCAUUGUCACUUAUAAAACAGAGCCGUCGUUUUGAAGAAGUGUCAUGUUCAGUCUCAACUUGCAAGUUUCAGCCUGUCUUUUAUUACCUGUGGUUUUUGCCAGCUGGUGAUUUAUCUUGUAUGUUGUGUGUAACACUGUAUAGAAUUCAUGUUUUCCUACAGAGAUUCUCACACCUAAUUAAAAAUGUUUUAAUGUCUACGUUGGAUGUCAAAGUUUCAGAUAAUGACUCAUAACAGAUGAUGCUAUGCUCUACUGAAAGCCCUUCCUUCCAUCUCUCUGGGGAUAACAAGGCUUGGAAACCAAUGUGGUAUUCUUUAUUGCUUUCCUUCAUUCUGUGCAGUUUGUAGGCACUGACAUUGGCCUUGAUAGUUGAGUUCACACACCGUACCUCUGCUUUGCAUGCAAACCUGAUUAAAACUUAAAAUCUAAGUAAGGAGGUAAUUCUUUUAUCUCUAGAGGACCGACCAGUGAGUGUUCGCAUAUGCAAUCUGACAAACUUCAGGAGUAAUUUGAGAUUUUGGUUUGGUUUGUUUGGGUUUGGUUUUUGGAGUCUUGUUUUCACUUGUAGCCUGCUCACAUGCUAAGCUGACAUUCUGCAUGUAACUUCACCUUUGUGUGUUUUUACAGCUUCUGCCUGUGGCUGCAGAGCAGCUCCAGUGCAUGUCGUUUGUGAAUCCUAAACUGCACAUGUCCCUGAUGAGACUGAUAUACUGGUUUGUAAGGCAGCUAGACAAUGAUACUAAGGUAAAUUCUCUGCAGAUAUUCAGGCAUUUUGUCUUUUAAGUACACAUAGAAAGUGGACAUUUUUAGGGUGUAUGUAUAAUAGAAACCUGGAUGUCUUUGCUAAACAUCAAUUUGUAACAGAGAAAUGGAAAAGUAUGGCAAAAAAAAACUUCUCAUAAAUGGAACUUUCUGAGAUCAUUUUAUUGAUUUUUGCAUAGUCUAUGAAAACAUAUUUUUAUGUACGUAUGCAAUCGCUGUUGCAGUAGUAUCUAAGCAUCUCAGGAAAUACAUUUUUAUAAAUAUGCUUAGCAGAGUUGGCAGUUAGGAAAGGAAACACAUUUUUGUUUACUUUAUGUGCGAGAUUAGCUGAAAUUGAUGGCAAAGUGUGGCAGAGCAGCAUGGAAACUUUGGCUUUGUCCUCUGCUUAAUGUUCCAUUGAAUUCAUUGUUUUUCUUGACAAGGAGAAGCUAUUUUAAAUGAUCACAGUGUAAAG